rnacentral:rRNA from 1 species
UGGGGAAUAUUGGACAAUGGGCGGAAGCCUGAUCCAGCCAUGCCGCGUGUGUGAAGAAGGCCUUUUGGUUGUAAAGCACUUUAAGCGAGGAGGAGGCUACUUGGAUUAAUACUCUAGGAUAGUGGACGUUACUCGCAGAAUAAGCACCGGCUAACUCUGUGCCAGCAGCCGCGGUAAUACAGAGGGUGCGAGCGUUAAUCGGAUUUACUGGGCGUAAAGCGUGCGUAGGCGGCUUCUUAAGUCGGAUGUGAAAUCCCUGAGCUUAACUUAGGAAUUGCAUUCGAUACUGGGAAGCUAGAGGAUGGGAGAGGAUGGUAGAAUUCCAGGUGUAGCGGUGAAAUGCGUAGAGAUCUGGAGGAAUACCGAUGGCGAAGGCAGCCAUCUGGCCUAAUACUGACGCUGAGGUACGAAAGCAUGGGGAGCAAACAGG